rnacentral:rRNA from 1 species
AGCGAACGCUGGCGGCAGGCCUAACACAUGCAAGUCGAACGAACCUUUCGGGGUUAGUGGCGGACGGGUGAGUAACACGUGGGAACGUGCCUUUAGGUUCGGAAUAACUCAGGGAAACUUGUGCUAAUACCGAAUGUGCCCUUCGGGGGGAAGAUUGAUCGCCUUUAGAGCGGCCCGCGUCUGAUUAGCUAGUUGGUUGAGGUAAUGGCUCACCAAGGCGACGAGCAGUAGCUGGUCUGAGAGGAUGAUCCGCCACAUUGGGACUGAGACACGGCCCAAACUCCUACGGGAGGCAGCAGUGGGGAAUCUUGCGCAAUGGGCGAAAGCCUGACGCAGCCAUGCCGCGUGAAUGAUGAAGGUCUUAGGAUUGUAAAAUUCUUUCACCGGGGACGAUAAUGACGGUACCCGGAGAAGAAGCCCCGGCUAACUUCGUG